UACGAAGGGGGCUAGCGUUGCUCGGAAUCACUGGGCGUAAAGCGCACGUAGGCGGAUCUUUAAGUCUGGUGUGAAAUCCCAAGGCUCAACCUUGGAACUGCCUUUGAUACUGGGGAUCUCGAGUCCGGAAGAGGUUGGUGGAACUGCGAGUGUAGAGGUGAAAUUCGUAGAUAUUCGCAAGAACACCAGUGGCGAAGGCGGCCAACUGAUCCGGUACUGACGCUGAGGUGCGAAAGCGUGGGGAGCAAACAGG
rnacentral:rRNA from 1 species